CCGUCCAUUUGUGUGGUUCAUUCAUUCUGGACACCCCUGGCCACCGUCUCAACUGCUGGGGGCGAAAAAAAGGGGGAAGUAGCCGAGGUCCGGCGGGGUGAUUUUGCGGCGGCGCUCGUGCUUCGCCGCCCGCCUGUAUGCGAAUGGACGCUGAGGGUAUGGAGUUUCUGCUUGAUUUGGUCGACAGGUUCCCCGUUCGGGAGGAAUUUGCUGAUAGCCUUGAACAAACAGAUCCGGUUCCCCUCCUCUACUUGUUACAGAAUGGGGCUGGAAAUCUUGAGGCUGGUGCUGCAAACGGUGGGUCUAACCUGGCUCAGAUGGCCGGCGAAGAUGACAUGGCUGCGGCGCAAGAAGGUGCCCAGCAGCGCCGAGCUGCAUCUCCGACGAGGUCUGCUCAGUCAACCGACAGUGUGAAUCCAGAGGCCCCCGGCUGGACUAAAAGAAAAAUCUGGGUUCACCUAUGUGGUGCUCGCCGACAAAUCCAGUAAGGUGAUAAAUUGAAUGCGGGAUAAUGGCAGCAGCCGCAUGCAGUACAAAUUCUUUGGGGAUGUCGUCACAUUCGACACCACAUACAGGACGAAUCUGUAUGACAUGCCAUCUGGAUUAUAUGUUGGAGUUAACAAUCACUACCGGAGCAUAAUCCUGGCGGGGUGUUGAUGUGCGAUGAACAAGAAGAAAGCUUUGAAUUGGUGUUUGCAGAAUUUUUGCGUAUGAUAGGCGGACCUGCCCCCAAAACAAUACUGACAGACCAAUGCAGGGUUAUGGACGUGGCGAUUAAGAAAACGGAUCCUGACACUGUCCACCGUUGGUGCAAGUGGCAUGUCCUGAAGAAGGCGAAGGAAACACUGGUACCACUUUACACGAAGAAGAGUGAUUUUCAGGCUGAAUUCCACAAGGUUGUGAACCACAUGUUGACUGAGGAUGAGUUCGAAUCAGCCUAGACGGGUUUGCUGGAUAAAUACAAUUUGAGGAGUCAUACAUACAUGACACAAAUAUACGAAACCAGGAGAAAAUGGGCAAAGCCAUAUUUCAGGGGUGUGUUUUGUGCAAAAAUGACGAGCACCCAGCGCAGUGAGAGUGCAAACCUUAUGCUGAAGUCAUACAUGCCCUCUGCAAGCCCAAUGCAUGUCUUUGUCAGGCAGUACAUGAGGCUUCAAUUUGGCCGCGAGUGCGAUGAGAGCUACAAGGAGAAGAGGACCAUGAUUGUAAGUACAUUUCUGUCCUUACCAAAUGGUUGGUGAUUAAAAAUGUUUUUUAAGGGGGGAUGUGGAUACUGAUGCCUGUCCGUGCUGCUCGAGUUCUUCAGCUGUUCUAAUCUGAAGAUACAAUUCACCUGUUCAUCAGCUGUCCGCGGGCCUCUCGGAUUUGGGACCAAAUCGGCCUAACUGCUACGCCGACGAUUCAAGAGCUUUGGCUCCUCCAUAUGCCGCCGCAGCUGGACUCUAGAUUCUGGCCGGAAAUAGUGCUUGUAAUCUUGUUGAAGAUUUGGGACUCUCGCAAUGCUGCUGUUUUCCGAUCUGAAGAUCACACUACACGGCUCACAAUUACGAACAUUGUAACUGAUCUUGAGCUGCACUCACAUAGGUUUAGGGAUCCGGCUGACAAGGUAGCUGCUAGGUCUUGGCUUAGCUACCUUACCACACGGCUUGCCAUGCCUCUGUAAAUCUGUAAUCUUCUUUGGCCCCCUU